AGGGGACGCGAUCGCUCGCAGCUCCGCCCCGUGGUCCACCCGGCACUUCACGGACCAGUGCUCCCAGGACCCGCAGCCGCCUCCGGCAAGGAAGAAAGGUCGCUGGACUCCAGGGAAGGAGGAGUCGGGAGCCUCGGCGUGGGCACGGCUCCCAGGACCUCGGCUCGGGGGCGGGGCUAGAGGGCGGAGCCUCCGCGCGCACUCCGGCGCUGUGCCGGCCACCUCUGCGGGGUCCUAGGGGCGGGGACGGUGAACCUGAGGAAAGAUGGCGGCGCCCUGGUGGCGAGCCGCGCUGGGCGGAAGUCGGAGGUGGCGGGGCUUCAGCACCUCGGCCGCGCUGAGCCGCAGGACCCCGCCACUGGGGCCGAUGCCCAACGAGGACAUCGAUGUGAGCAACCUGGAUCGGCUGGAGAAAUACCGCAGCUUCGACCGCUACCGGCGCCGGGCCGAGCAGGAGGCGCGGGCCCCGCACUGGUGGCGGACCUACCGCGAGCACUUCGUGGAAGAGUCAGAUCCCAAAGACAAGAUUGACAUUGGGCUGCCUCCGCCCAAGGUCUGUCGCACCCAACAACUGCUGGAGCGAAAACGGGUCCUCCGGGAACUGCGGGCCAGCGUGGAGGAGGAGCGGGCCGCCCGCCUGCGCACGGGGAGCAUCCCACUGGAGGCUGUGCGGGCCGAGUGGGAGCGGACCUGUGGCCCCUACCACAAGCAGCGGCUGGCAGAGUACUGUGGCCUCUACCGAGACCUGUUCCACGGUGCCACCUUCGUGCCCCGCGUGCCCCUGCACGUGGCCUACGCCGUGGGUGAGGAUGAGUUGGUGCCUGUGUACCACGGCAAUGAGGUCACGCCGACCGAGGUGAGUGCUGGGCUGUGCCCCAUCCCUCCCUGCGCGGACAGACACGGCCCAGUGGGGGGCACAGACGGUCCCCUUCUGAAGGCCUUUACAGAGGAGGUUUUUAUGGUCGUCGAGGGCACGAGCUUGGCAGAGACGUGGUCUGAGUCGGAGUUUUGUUGUCCUGUAGCUUCUCUUUUCGGUUUCCUAGUAAACGGCACCGUGAUAAUUACCGAACAGAAGAGCACAAAGGGAACGCAAAAGCAGCCGCAUCCCGGCUGGCCGCUCGCCAUCUUCAGGGUGCCCCCUCACCCCUGCCUGUUGACCUGUGGGCCUUCUGGUGGCUCAGCCCUCUUGAGAGGCAACUCUGCACGGUUCCUUCUAGAACUUUCUCUGUGCUGGUCUGCCUCUGGAGGGGCUGUCAGGGAUGUUUGGGUCAGAGUGGGCUCUGCCUUCUCCAAGGCCCCCUCAGACCCCUGCUCUCCAGAAAGCUCUCUUUAUAACAGCCGUGUGCCCCUCCCAGGGGUGACAGCCCCCUCCUUCUUCCCCCAUCAGGCUGCCCAGGCCCCAGAGGUGACCUAUGAGGCGGACGAGGGCUCCAUGUGGACACUGCUGCUCACCAACCUGGACGGACACCUGCUGGAGCCGGACGCCGAGUAUGUGCACUGGCUGCUGUGAGUACCCGGGGCAGGGCCGCGGGUCCGGCAUGGGGGAGGCCCUGGCCCUGUGGGAAGGGCCGCCCCUGAAUUUCAGUCUCAGAUCCACUGUGGAUCAGCCUCCCUCCCCUGGAGUCGGCCCCUCAUCUCUGCUCCUGAGAGGGUCAGGGGCCAUGAGGUCCAGCGGCUGCAGACAGGUCCAGAAGGAGAGCCGGCCUCUCCAUCUCCCUGAGCUCCUUUCCUCGCCCGUAAGUCUGGGGCGGUGCCUCCACAUUCCUUCGUCACCCCGAGGGGCUCUGUGGCGGUCAGGCGGGAGAGGGGCCACGAGAGGCCUCUGGCCGCUGUGGCCCGCCCAGGUCAGCCUGCCUUCCGUUUUCCCAGUGGCUUUUGGCUGCGAGCGCCAGGCAGGUGACCCUAGCUUUGGGACUUCCGAGUAACCGAGGCCAGUGACCGGGAGCCUGGUUUGCGCCACUUUUGUUCAGGGCAGCCGCCGCCUGUGCAGUGGGGCCUUCUCGAGGAGGCGCCGUGGCUGCCCCGGUGCCAGGCCGGGCAGACUCUCCGACACGGCCCAGCGCUUCAGGGAGCAGAGGGAGGAGCAGCUCCAGGGCGGCGUGGUCUCCCCCCGAGUGGCCGGGACAGCCCCUCCGGCUGUGCAGGGUCCAGCAAACAGGCUGCUGGGCUUGGCUCUCACGCUGGCUGGCUGCAGGACCCUUGUCUUCCGCCUCUGAGCCCCGGGGGCUCCCAGAGCGAGCGCCCCUCCCACCGGAUGACCUGGUGGGGAUCCUUCCCGGGAGCUGCUUCGGCCUCUAGGGAGCAUGUGGUGGGGGUACCGGCCCGCUACUAACGGGUCACUUUCUCUCCUGCCAGCACCAACAUCCCGGGCAACAGGGUGGCCGAAGGACAGGAGACGUGCCCCUACCUCCCCCCGUUCCCCGCCCGGGGCUCUGGCUUCCACCGCUUUGCCUUCCUGCUCUUCAAGCAGGACCAGCCAAUCGACUUCUCUGGGGACACCCGGCCUUCACCCUGUUACCGGCUGGCCCAGCGGACCUUCCGCACCUUCGACUUCUACAAGAAGCACCAGGAAGCCAUGACCCCCGCGGGCCUGGCCUUCUUCCAGUGUCGCUGGGACGACUCGGUCACCCGCGUCUUCCACCAGCUUUUGGACAUGCGGGAGCCAGUGUUCGAGUUCGUGCGGCCGCCGCCUUACCACCCCAAGCAGAAGCACUUCCCCCACCGGCAGCCUCUGCGCUACCUGGACCGGUACAGGGACAGCCACGAGCCCACCUACGGCAUCUACUGAGGGGCCGGGCCGCCACCCACCUUGGGGAGCGCCCCGGGCCUCUCAGGCCCCUCUGUUGGACUCUGCAGGCAGGAGCGCAAAUACCCGGCUCCGGGGGCCUAGCUGUGGGGUUCUGGGCCCUGCCUGAGGCGGCCGCUCUGUGGGCCUCCCAGCAGGCCCAGGGCCUGGGGGAGAAGGGGCGGCAGGGGCGGCCGUGUGAAUAAAGACGAUCUCUGCU